rnacentral:RNase_P_RNA from 1 species
UCCGCUCUUUCGGUGAUCGCCCGCCUACGCCAAGGCUACGGCGGGAGGAACGUCCGGGCACCAUGGAACGCUAUGCGGGUAACGCCCGUCGCUGCGGAAAUAAUCCAUAAUGCCGCAGUAGGACCAGUGCCACAGAAACGAGUCUCGUUCAUCCUCAGCUCUGCUGAGGUCCAAUGAGAAUGAAACGCCUCGGGAACCGAGGAUCCGCCUUCGGCGGAUGGGUAAACUCAUGGUGGUGUAAGGAGGAUUUGGGCGCGUAGACCCUGUGUUGGUUCCGACACACUACGUGCUCCUCCGCAUUGAGGUAGCGUGGUAACACCUGCCCCAGAUAGAUGAUCAUCUGAGAAACAGAACCCGGCGUAUGAGAGAGCGGAUCAA